rnacentral:lncRNA from 1 species
UUUAUAUGAAUCAUGAGUCGAUAUAAGUGGAAAAGAGAACUUGUUGUUGCCAAAAAAUGUAAAUGAGACCACACAUGCUAUGUCCACAACCACAAUGUAAAAGAUUCCCCUCAAAACUCCGCAGUAAGAAAAGAGAUCUACAGAACUUCAGUUUUUUUUUCCGAAUAAUGCCGCUUAAAUACUAAUAAGUUCAUUUUUUUGUCUUUUUUUUGUUUUUACUUUUAUCAAUAAUUUCUUAAUUUUCUUAAAAUUAGAUUUUAGCUUAUUAUAGGUACGUGUUGAAAUAUCAAACUUAUUAAAAUUCGCGCUAUAAUUGUAUUUUAUGGAUUAGGGAAAGUUAAC